rnacentral:rRNA from 1 species
AUUGAACGCUGGCGGCAGGCCUUACACAUGCAAGUCGAACGAGUGGCGGACGGGUGAGUAAUGUCUCGGAACCUGCCCGAUAGCGGGGGAUAACUACUGGAAACGGUAGCUAAUACCGCAUACCAUCGGAUGUGCCCAGAUGGGAUUAGCUAGUAGGUGGGGUAAAGGCUCACCUAGGCGACGAUCCCUAGCUGGUCUGAGAGGAUGACCAGCCAUACUGGGACUGAGACACGGUCCAGACUCCUACGGGAGGCAGCAGUGGGGAAUUUUGGACAAUGGGGGAAAGCCUGAUGCAGCCAUGCCGCGUGUAUGAUGAAGGCCUUCGGGUUGUAAAGUACUUUCAGCAGGGAGGCGUUACUUGCAGAAGAAGCACCGGCUAACUACGUGCCAGCAGCCGCGGUAAUUC